rnacentral:rRNA from 1 species
UACGGGGGGGGCAAGCGUUGUUCGGAAUCACUGGGCGUAAAGGGCGUGUAGGCGGUCAGGUUAGUGAGAUGUGAAACGCCCCGGCUCACCCGGGGACCUGCAUCUCAAACUGCCUGGCUUGAGUAUGGGAGAGGAUGAGGGAAUUCCUGGUGUAGCGGUGAAAUGCGUAGAUAUCAGGAGGAACACCGGUGGCGAAAGCGCUCAUCUGGCCCAAUACUGACGCUGAGGCGCGAAGGCCAGGGGAGCGAACGGG